rnacentral:rRNA from 1 species
CUCGGCAACGGAUAUCUCGGCUCUCGCAUCGAUGAAGAACGUAGCGAAAUGCGAUACUUGGUGUGAAUUGCAGAAUCCCGUGAACCAUCGAGUCUUUGAACGCAAGUUGCGCCCGAAGCCAUUAGGCUGAGGGUACGUGUGCCUGGGCAUCACGC